CUAGCGGCUAUAACCCCUAAUCCUACCAGUAAUCCCCAACAUGCCUCCUACCAGAAGAAGGAGACCGCGGGACCAGCGCGCCGGGAGAUGGGUUACAAGGCGACGCCGCGCCGGAACGUACUUUGGGCUCUCAACAAUGCCGAGGCCAACGGCGGGACGACGUCUGUGCCGCGGAUGGAGGCGGCGCCCAUGAUUAAGUUCAGUGGGAGGCAGGAUGUGGAGCGCCUGCUAAAAUGAAGGGCAAAAGCAAGAGCGAUUUCAAGGGGAGAAUCAAUCAGAUGAGCGUCUACAUCAAGAAGCUCAGGGCGUGCAUCCGGUGCAGUUGAAGAUAGCUAAUCGACAAUGCAAGGUCAAGGCCUCUACCGGUUGUAACAGAUUGGUAAUUAGCAUGUAUCUGAAACCUCGUUUGCAACCAAAGUUCACUGCUAUUUUAGUUUGUCAGCAAUAUGGGAUUGUUUUGGAUACAAACUAUAUAGCUCUAGAUAAAAUAGUUCCAAAUCUUGCUUUUUAUAUCCAAACACACUAGCUCCAUGAAAUCUGAAGCACCCAAAAAUUCAUAUUUGGGAGCAUGAUCCAUGAAUUUUCUGGAGCAUCAAGAACCUGUGAAUUUCUGGACUUGGCCAAAACUAUCUGCCAGGCCACUGGGGCGUACCCAGUGCCCUAGGCUUCCCGCACUGUGCGGGGUCUAGGGAAGGGUAUCUUUAUGUGCCAAGCCUUACCCGCAUAAUAUGCAGAGGGUGGGGCUCGAACCCGGGACCUUCCGGUUACAGACGGUAGAGCCUACGCCAAGCCUUACCCGCAUAAUAUGCAAAAGCUGGAUACUACUCCGUUACUGCCGCUUAAAAAAUCUCAGUCUAACCUCCAAGGCUGCUAUCAACUAGAAUACCUAUUAACUGGUAUCCAUUGAAUAUAUGCCGUGUGUAACACAUUAUCGCAGUAAUGGAGUCAAGGGUACCUGAAAAGUUAAUCUGAUGGCACAUGCGCCUCAUGCUCAGGAAUUCAGUAAGUUAUACAAUAAUUGUUUUUGUCGAAGUGUAAGACUUUAUAAGUUAAAAAUGAUUUUAAUAUACUUCGUUAUUUCAACAACAAUAACAACGAAGCCUUUAGUCCCAAACAAAUUGUGGUGGGCUAGAAUUAAAACCCAACAAAACUCACAAGCAAUAUUUUUGGUUAUUUAUGAAAUAAAAUAAGUGCCAGGAUCACCAAAAAGUUAUUUAUGCAAUUCUCUGUUGGUGACACGAUUCCUCUCCUAUCUUGUCAUUUUUAUACUCAUGUCCCAAAUUAGUGUUUGUUUUAGCUCUUGAUUUUUAAAUCUAUAUUCAAAUUGAAGGUGAUGAAUCUAGACAAAUAAAACACAUACAUCAAAAAACUGAAGGACAACAAUCUCAGCUAGACACCAAAGCUGACCUUGAGUCAAAAGCUAGCACAGUAUUUUGGACAACUUGCUUUAUAUUCUAAAAAAUGCAGGUAUUCAUAUGUUUUCAUAGCUCCGAGACAACAAGAAACACUAAGAAAUGAAAACUCAUUAGAAAAGAAAAUUAUUUCAGACGAUCAACAAUACUAAUAUUAUCUUCAUUUGAUAAGAGACGAACUCCACUAAAAGCCAAAUAAAUAACUUUCCAAAUAUCAAACUUUUAUUUGCAAAUAAUGUUAUACAACCUGUCCAAAUAUAUAUAUUCUUUUGCAUAUGUGAUACUUUCUUGGCAAGUUUGUUCGAGAAAAUUUUCAGAACAAUUCCGACAUCUGACAUUAUACAUAAAAUCUUAGAGGGGGGUUUUCAUGUAAAGAGAGUGAUUUAGCUGCCCAUUCAAACUAUAUGUUCACAAAUAAAAAACAGAUAAAUUAAGUGAAAAUAGUGACGUGACUCACAUCACUAAAUGUUUUUCUAAGAUAAAACUUAUUUUCUUUUCAAUGUAUAUGCUUAAUUCCAGUGCACUAUAUAAAAACAAUUAAACAAAUAUUAAAAAAAUGCAACAGUAUUUGUAAAACACUAUAAUACCAUCUUAUAUUACACAAAUGUUUCUCUUAAUUUUUACUGGAAAUUAGUAAUAAGAGAUAAACAUAAACAAAUUUAAUAUAUUACAUUGCUAGAAACUCAGCUACAUGAGUAUCUGUUCUAUUUCAGACAUACAAUAUUAAUUUGUCGGUAUUUACAUAUCCAUGUAAAACCUAUAAGAUUUAUAUAAUUUUUCGAGCAUUCUUUACAACAAAAUAAGUAUCGAGUUUUAAUAUAAUUGAAUAAAGAGCUAACGUUGCAUACUUAAUUAAAAGUACAAUAUGACUUUAAAUUCUUUAAAUACAAUUCGAGAUCGUUUAAGCCGAGAUCUUUCGACCUACGGUGCAAAUUAAUUAGAUAGAAACAAAUAUCAUAAAAAUCGCUUAUAAAUCAUUGUUAGGAACGUAAUAUUACUUCUUAACUACAUUGUCUUAUGAUAAGGGAUUGAUCUAUGUUAUUGUUUUUCUUCAGGGUAUAUAACUUUUACAUUUGACAUAUAUUCAAUGUCUAUCGUUGUCUCCUUGCAUAGAUUAAUGAAAACUUAACUAGUACGUUCCUAACAAUACUUUAUUAGCGAUUUCUAUAACAUUUCUUUUUAUCUAAUUAAUUUGCACCGUAGGUCUGAAAGAUAUCGGUCUAAAUAAUCUUGAAUUAUAUUUAAACAAUUUAAAGUUGGAUUCUACUUUUGGUUUAGUAUGCAAGGUUACUAUUUAUUCAAUCAUAUUGAAACUCGAUACUUAUUUUUUAUAGAUAAUGCUAAAAAAAUUCUCUCUACCUUUUAGGUUUUGCAUGUACAUGUGAAUAACAACAAAUUGAUAUUGUUAAGGCCCAUAAGGCCCAUAUUGCCUAUAUAUAUGCUACAGUACCCGUGGGGGUGAUUAUCUCGCCUAAUCCAAGGUUAGUCACAGAUAUUUUAUAUUUGUGAUGAAACUGAUACCCCUGUAGCUGAGUUUCUAGUAAUGUAAGAUCUUAGAUUUGUUUAUAUUUAUUUAUUUAUUCUAAUUUUAAGCAAUAACAAAGAAAAGCUCUAUGCAAUAUAAGAUGUUGCUUUUGUAUUUUUCAAAGACUAUUGCAACUUUUAAUAAUUGUUUGAUUGUUUUUUAUAUGGUGCACUGAACUUAAGCAUUAGUAAUGAAAUCAAAAUAAGUUUUAUCUUAAAAACCUUUGGUGAUGUGAGUUAUUACUAACCUUGGGAUUCACAAUAGAUGAUCAGUUCGUAUGGACUAGAGUAUAUAUAGGCAGUAGGUCUGGGUCUAAUGGGUCUUAACACCCUCUCGAAUUCAUGGUGGAAAUAGAUGAUCUAAAGCAUUGAGUUUGAUCAAGUGAAACUGAUGUUGUGCUCUGGUUUGCAUUUUGGUGAAGAAAUCUGCCAAUUGAAAUUAUAAGGGCACAUAUUGAAGAUCAAUAGUCUUUUGAUGACAAUGAGUAGCCCUAGGCAAAAAACCCGUAACUCGAUACCCGAACCUAUAUUACCCGAAACCCGAAUUUUAUUUAUGAAUUUUGGGCCACAAUCUAUGAAACUCGAAAUUAUUUCAGGUAACUCGUGUACCACUUUCUGGUACUCGAAUUACCCGAAUCCAGCUCGCCUGCGACUCCUCCAAUCCUCCUACUUGCUUGCAGUUUGCUCGUGCCCCCAACUCCCCAGUCUCGUGCCCCCAACUGUGUCUGUGUGCGCGUGCAUGUGCCAUAUCCUUGUCUGGCUGUAUCCGUUGGUGUUGGCAUUGCCGUCUUGAGCUCUUGGGUCUUGGCAAAUGGCGAUGUCCAUGUCUCCUUUUGAAUUUUCAACCGGUAAUAGCAGUAGCACUAGUGCUCAACUGCACUAGCAGUCCGUCUCCCUGUGAGUUUUUCAACCGCUAAUACCAGUAGCACUAGUGCACUUCUGCAUUAGUAGUAACAACCCAUCACCCGUCUCCAUGAGAACCUGAAUUCUAAAUGUAUUUUUCUUGCUGCUAGUGAGCUUCUUCGUAUGUUUUUUCAAAAUUGUGAACUUUGUAUUCUUCCACUUUAAAUAGACAGGCUAAAUGUAUUUUUCAUGAUGCCAGUGAGCUUCUUUGUAUGUUUUUCAAAACUGUGAACUUUGUAUUCUUCCACUUUAAAUAGGAAGGUAAUAUUCAUAAAAUCAAUUCGGGUAGUUUGGGAGUACCCGAUACUCGAACCCGAAUUGUCGGGUAACCAAAUUUCCGGGUAUUAUAAUACCCGAUGUAAUUUCGGGUAGCAAUUCCCAAAACCCGAAAUUUUAAUUACCCGACUCGAAAUUUUUGGGUUACCCGAACACCCAGUCCUAACAAUGAGAACGAGUGUCAACACCAAUGUGUUUAGUAUGUUAAUGCUUCACUGGAUCAUGAGAAUUUUGUACAGCGCUGAUGUUAUCACAUAAAAGAGAUGUAGGACUGAGCCAACGCAUCCAAAUGAUUUCAGCAGCAGUAGUAGCAAGAGCUCGAAGUUCUGCUUCAGUACUAGAACGAGAUAUGGCCGCUUGCUUCUUGGAUUUGCAAGCAAUAGGAGAGGAUUCAAGAAGAAUACAGUAGCCUGUAAUGGAGGUCGUGACAGUGGCCGGGGAGGGAGGUUCAGGAUGACUGACAGGAAUGCGGACGGGGAGGGCCACAACAACGGUUGAAGGAAAGGUCGUGAUUGCGGCUAAAAAAUUGCGAUUAGAAAUCCAUAACCCUAACUUGCUUUGUUACCAUGUUUAGGGUUGGACGAAAAACUCGUAGCUCGUUAACUCGCUCGACUCGACUCGUUUAUAAUUUGUAACGAGUUGAGCUUGUAUUUCAACUUGUUACGUUAACGAGCCAGCUCGAGCUGGCUCGCGAGCCAAACGAGUUGGAGUAAUUAGUCAAAUCACAAUAAUCUCUGAUCCAAAAUAGUUAAUCUUGUACUCUACUAUAGUUAAUCUUGUUCUUUGUUGAGUGUGGAAUCUUAAGUUGCAAACUCUAUUAUUUUUUCUAAAUAGAUCUCCUUUUCUUUUGCUACAUGUUUUUAUAUCCGUUCGUAGACACUAGACAUGGUAUUAUCGAGCUGGCUCGCGAGCUAAACGAGCCAGCUCGAGUUGGCAAACGAGUCGAGCCGAGUUGGAUCUUUAGCUCGUUAACAUAAUGAGUCGAGCCGAGCCAGCUUGUUAUCUUUACGAGCCAGCUCGAUAUCCACCCCUAACCAUGUUACUAACCUUGGGAUUCAUAGUAGAUGAUUAGUCUCUAUGGACUAUAGAGUAUAUAUAGGUAGUAGGCCUGGGCCUAAUGGGCCUUAACAUCAGUCACGUCACUCUAUGUAUAGAGAUUUUAUGUAUAAUGACAGAUGUUGGAAUUGUUCUUAUGAUUUUCUUAGACAGACUUAUUAAGAAAAUAUCACAUACGUAAAAGAAUAUAUAUUGGCCACGUUCUAAAACAUUUCUUGCAAAAAGAGUUUGACAUUUGGAAAGUUAUUUCCUUAGUCUCUAGUGAGCUUCGUCUCCUAUCAAAUGAAGAUGAUAUAACAUUGUUUAUUGUCUAAAGCAAUCUUUUUUCUAAUGAGUUUUAAUUCCUCAGUGGUUCUUGUUGUUUUGGAGCUCUGCAAAUAUAGGAAUGCCAGUGUUUUUCAUGUUAUAAGAUAUGUUGUUCAAAUUGUUGUGCUAUCUGUUUUGGUUUAAGAUCGAAUUUAGUGUCUAAUUGAGGCUGCUGCCCUUCAGUUUUUAGUUUUUAAGAUUGAACCUAAUAUGGUGGUGAAUGGAGCUAGAAUUGUGUAAGUGUGAGUUGUAAUCCACAACCCUUUUCUCGGAGUGUAUAAUAUUUUUGGGAGGACUUUUUUCUGCUUAAUGAAAUGACACGCAGCUCUCAUGCGUUGUUAAAAAAAUAUCAUAUAAUUUUGCUGUAGAUUGAGUCAAGAUAUGAGUGAUAACUUUUUGAAUGUUUGUCUAGUUAUUUUUGAUUAAACAAAUAAGUUUGUACAAUUGCAACAAAGUAUGCAAAAUUAAUUUACUGUGUAACAUUAGAUUUUUUGUGGAUGAUUAGUUUAUUGAAUAGAAUGAUAGAAUGAUUACUUUACACCGAUGUCGCUCCUCCACGAGCCCGCGCACGCCGAGGCCGAUCUUCUUUUAUGGCCACCGUGCCCCGCAUCGGAGGUGCCUUACCCUCCGUCGCGCCCGUGGACUGGACGAUGACUUCGAGUAGAGGCGGCGGUGGCUGCAACAAUAUCUGCGAUCUACGGUCCACGCGACAGCGACAGAGGCCGAGGGGUCGCUUGUACAUCGGCGGAACCUGUUGCUGGAGGAGCUUGCGUGUGAGGUGGGGCUCUCGCCCGACCGGUGGCUCUAGGUGCCGCUGCCCAAGGUCUGGAGUGUCCGUGUCUUCGCAUGUAUCGGUGCUGCCUGAUCGCCGCUCAAUUGAGCGCUAGCUAAGCGGUCUUCAUCGUGGUCCUCGGUCCACGCGACGGCAGCGGAGGCUGAAGGGUCGCUGCUGCACCGGCAGAACCUAUCACUAGAUGAGAUGGCGGGCGGGUGGGGCUCUCCCCCGACCGGCGGCUCCGGGUACAGCUGCCCAAGGCCAGGAGUGUUUGCGCUUUUGCCUGCAUCGGCGCCGCUUGAUCACCGCCUCAAUCGAGCGCCAGCUGUGCUGCCUUGAUCGCUGCCAUGUACCCUCCGUGCCUAGACCCCGCGUAGUGCGGGAAGCCUAGGACACGGGGUACACCCUUUAACAGAUAUCCAUCUAAGAUGCUCCUGUCUGCAAUUGAUGAGCUUCACAGAGGAACUUAUGACUUACCUGCCAAUUGAUUUCAAGAACAAAUGCAAUGUUGGAUACGCGUUCGUUAACAUGAUAUCGUCGGUGCACAUUAUAUCAUUCUACCAGGCUUUUAAUGGUAAGAAAUGGGAGAAGUUCAACAUCUAGAAGGUAGCCUCGUUGGCUUAUGCUAGAAUUCAUGGACGGUCUGCACUGAUAAGAGGUGUCGCCCGAUUCUUUUUAAUCCCAAUGGUUAGUACUCUGAAUCAGGAAGCAUUUCCAAUCAAUGGCAUAUGCAUCCACAUGCUUUCGAAAGAUGAUUACCCUGACAACGAAGAAGACGACAAGGGUCUAAACGAGAAGGUAGGAGAGAGCUCGACCGAUAUGGCUGAGGGUUUGUGACGUCUGAUAGCAGACAGGAUCAGAAUGGCCAUACAUAUAAAUCUAACUGUCUAGAGAGUAUCCACCCCCAUAUUGUAUAAAAAGCGUGGAAAGUUGAUGGUUAGUGAUGAAUUUUGUGGUCUGGUUUGGCAUGGCACAUCUUUUGGUUUCAGAUGUUGCCCCGGAAAUGAAAGUUGAAGUGGGAGCUAAAGCUGAAGCGAUUAGCUUCGAACUGGAGCUUGUUUGUCGAAUCCUCCCCCUCCCCUUCUGUUG